rnacentral:tRNA from 1 species
GGACGCUUAGCUCAGCUGGUAGAGCGUCGCGUUUACAUCGCGUAGGUCGGGGGUUCAAAUCCCUCAGCGUCCA